rnacentral:rRNA from 1 species
UAAAGAUUCAUCGCUGAUAGAUAGGCAUGCGUUCCAUUAGGCAGUUGGCGGGGUAACGGCCCACCAAACCGACGAUGGAUAGGGGUUCUGAGAGGAAGGUCCCCCACAUUGGUACUGAGACACGGACCAAACUCCUACGGGAGGCAGCAGUGAGGAAUAUUGGUCAAUGGGCGUAAGCCUGAACCAGCCAAGUCGCGUGAGGGAUGAAGGUUCUAUGGAUCGUAAACCUCUUUUAUAAGGGAAUAAAGUGUGGGACGUGUCCUGUUUUGUAUGUACCUUAUGAAUAAGGAUCGGCUAACUCCGUGCCAGCAGCCGCGGUAAUACGGAGGAUCCGAGCGUUAUCCGGAUUUAUUGGGUUUAAAGGGUGCGUAGGCGGCCUUUUAAGUCAGCGGUGAAAGUCUGUGGCUCAACCAUAGAAUUGCCGUUGAAACUGGGAGGCUUGAGUAUGUUUGAGGCAGGCGGAAUGCGUGGUGUAGCGGUGAAAUGCUUAGAUAUCACGCAGAACCCCGAUUGCGAAGGCAGCCUGCCAAGCCAUGACUGACGCUGAUGCACGAAAGCGUGGGGAUCAAACAGGAUUAGAUACCCUGGUAGUCCACGCAGUA